rnacentral:rRNA from 1 species
AAAUUCUGGCUAAUACCGCAUAAGUUAGUAAUAAGAAAGGAUGCUUCGGCAUUCGUCGAUAGAUGGGCCUGCGUAGCAUUAGCUUGAUGGUGGGGUAAUGGCCUACCAUGGCAACGAUGCUUAACUGGUCUGAGAGGAUGAUCAGUCACACUGGAACUGAGACACGGUCCAGACUCCUACGGGAGGCAGCAGUGGGGAAUAUUGCGCAAUGGACGAAAGUCUGACGCAGCAACGCCGCGUGAGUGAGGAAGGCCUUCGGGUUGUAAAGCUCUGUCAGAUGGGAAGAAAACUACUGGUCUAAUAGGCCAUGUACUUGACGGUACCAUCAAAGGAAGCACCGGCUAACUUCGUGCCAGCAGCCGCGGUAAUACGAAGGGUGCAAGCGUUACUCGGAUUUACUGGGCGUAAAGCGCGCGCAGGCGGACAAUUAAGCCAGAUGUGAAAUCCCGGGGCUCAACCCCGGAACUGCGUCUGGAACUGAUUGUCUAGAAUAUUGGAGAGGGAAUGGGAAUUUCUCAUGUAGGGGUAAAAUCCGUAGAGAUGAGAAGGAACACCAGAGGCGAAGGCGCAUUCCUGGCCAAUUAUUGACGCUGAGGCGCGAAAGCGUGGGGAUCAAACAGGAUUAGAUACCCUGGUAGUCCACGCUGUAAACGAUGUGCACUAGAUGUGGGAAUGU